GACAGAGGGUGCAAACGUUGCUCGGAAUUACUGGGCGUAAAGGGCGCGUAGGUGGCCUGCUAAGUCGAACGUGAAAUCCCUGGGCUCAACCCAGGAACUGCGUCCGAUACUGGUUGGCUUGAAUCCGGGAGAGGGAUGUGGAAUUCCAGGUGUAGCGGUGAAAUGCGUAGAUAUCUGGAGGAACACCGGUGGCGAAGGCGGCAUCCUGGACCGGUAUUGACACUGAUGCGCGAAAGCCAGGGGAGCAAACGGG
rnacentral:rRNA from 1 species